rnacentral:rRNA from 1 species
CACUCCUACGGGAGGCAGCAGUGGGGAAUAUUGCACAAUGGGCGCAAGCCUGAUGCAGCCAUGCCGCGUGUAUGAAGAAGGCCUUCGGGUUGUAAAGUACUUUCAGCGGGGAGGAAGGCAAUACGGUUAAUAACCGUGUUGAUUGACGUUACCCGCAGAAGAAGCACCGGCUAACUCCGUGCCAGCAGCCGCGGUAAUACGGAGGGUGCAAGCGUUAAUCGGAAUUACUGGGCGUAAAGCGCACGCAGGCGGUCUGUCAAGUCGGAUGUGAAAUCCCCGGGCUCAACCUGGGAACUGCAUUCGAAACUGGCAGGCUUGAGUCUUGUAGAGGGGGGUAGAAUUCCAGGUGUAGCGGUGAAAUGCGUAGAGAUCUGGAGGAAUACCGGUGGCGAAGGCGGCCCCCUGGACAAAGACUGACGCUCAGGUGCGAAAGCGUGGGGAGCAAACAGGAUUAGAAACCCUUGUAGUCCCA